rnacentral:rRNA from 1 species
GUCGAGCGAACAGACGAGGAGCUUGCUCCUCUGACGUUAGCGGCGGACGGGUGAGUAACACGUGGAUAACCUACCUAUAAGACUGGGAUAACUUCGGGAAACCGGAGCUAAUACCGGAUAAUAUAUUGAACCGCAUGGUUCAAUAGUGAAAGACGGUUUUGCUGUCACUUAUAGAUGGAUCCGCGCCGCAUUAGCUAGUUGGUAAGGUAACGGCUUACCAAGGCAACGAUGCGUAGCCGACCUGAGAGGGUGAUCGGCCACACUGGAACUGAGACACGGUCCAGACUCCUACGGGAGGCAGCAGUAGGGAAUCUUCCGCAAUGGGCGAAAGCCUGACGGAGCAACGCCGCGUGAGUGAUGAAGGUCUUCGGAUCGUAAAACUCUGUUAUUAGGGAAGAACAAAUGUGUAAGUAACUAUGCACGUCUUGACGGUACCUAAUCAGAAAGCCACGGCUAACUACGUGCCAGCAGCCGCGGUAAUACGUAGGUGGCAAGCGUUAUCCGGAAUUAUUGGGCGUAAAGCGCGCGUAGGCGGUUUUUUAAGUCUGAUGUG